UAGACGGUAGUAUAACUAAUACUUUUCGCUUACACCGAAAAACUGGCACCCAACCCCUUCUAG
rnacentral:tRNA from 1 species